AUAACAGUUAGAAAUGACUGCUAAUACCGCAUAAAACAGCAGAGUCGCAUGACUCAACUGUCAAAGAUUUAUCGGUGUAAGAUGGACCCGCGUCUGAUUAGCUAGUUGGUGGGGUAACGGCCUACCAAGGCGACGAUCAGUAGCCGGCCUGAGAGGGUGAACGGCCACAUUGGGACUGAGACACGGCCCAAACUCCUACGGGAGGCAGCAGUGGGGAAUAUUGGACAAUGGGCGAAAGCCUGAUCCAGCGACGCCGCGUGAGCGAUGAAGUAUUUCGGUAUGUAAAGCUCUAUCAGCAGGGAAGAAAACGACGGUACCUGACUAAGAAGCCCCGGCUAACUACGUGCCAGCAGCCGCGGUAAUACGUAGGGGGCAAGCGUUAUCCGGAUUUACUGGGUGUAAAGGGAGCGUAGACGGCAUCACAAGUCAGAAGUGAAAAUCCGGGGCUCAACCCCGGAACUGCUUUUGAAACUGUGGAGCUGGAGUGCAGGAGAGGUAAGCGGAAUUCCUAGUGUAGCGGUGAAAUGCGUAGAUAUUAGGAGGAACACCAGUGGCGAAGGCGGCUUACUGGACUGUAACUGACGUUGAGGCUCGAAAGCGUGGGGAGCAAACAGGAUUAGAUACCCUGGUAGUCCACGCCGUAAAC
rnacentral:rRNA from 1 species